AGUCGACUUUACUUCAAAGAAUGUGAGUACACAUUUUGCUUUCCACCACACCAUGUCGCCCUCUAUGGUCGACAUGUUGAUGUUCACGAGAUGAUGAUAACUAACUUUUCUCUUUCCAACAGCAUUUCUAUAGUAAACGACCCUACUCUGUAGUUUUUACGAAAGCGACAAGAGUCCCAACCUUGCUGAUGACCCUAAUGUCCUCGAUGCCCUAAAGUGAAGCCUUUUUUAUUCUCGCCUAUACUUCGACAGUGAUGAUGAUACUUGACAAUGCCUCGGUGUUUGAUUGAAUCUCAUCCUGUUGAUUUAGAGAGUGGUGAUGAUCUUUACCUUGCCGUGGCGUCUGACUUCGGUCGGCCUGGCAAGGUGGGUGUCGAGGAGGUCUGAAAGGUUCUAUUUACCCCUGAAUUGUUAGAGUGGGAUGUCUGUUGUUUAGUUUAUAACUCUUAGUAGAAUUUAAUGAGAUUUUUGAAAAAAAAAAAAUUUUU
rnacentral:snoRNA from 1 species